UUCUUAUAAGAGGCACAGUGGGGAAUCAAACUCUCAAGCAAUGGCUCUGCAGCCAGAUAUUUAAACCACUGAAAUAUUGCCUGGUAAGCAGUGACAUACAUUCAUCCAGCUUUCUUCCUGGCUGUCAUUCAUUGCACUAAUUGCACUGCAUCUGCAAAAGGUCAUUAAAGAGGCUUAAGAGACAUUUUGAAUGUUUCCAGAUGUAUUUAUUUAUUUUGAAGUUCAUAGAAUUUUUUUUAAUGGCUACAGUAGUGCUACAAAUUAAAACAUGUGCCUGAAUUAACGCUGAGUUUGUGGACAAAUUACUUAUAUCUUGCCUGUGAGACCUUGCAUUGGCUGGGAGCUUCUGGAGAUCACUGAGGAAGUCUUGUGCAAAGCUGUGUGAGACCUGCAGGCCCCAUGGGACUUCACAGGUAUUCUUGAAAAACAAGCAAGCCCUGUGUGACUUUAGCAGGCUGUUUAUAAGGCCACCAAUAUAAAUCCAUCGUCCUUGUUCAGCCAAAGCCACACAAGCCUCCUUCCCUCUCUUUAUUGAGGUUCCCUGUGUGUUUGGUGGUUGUCCUCUGGGAGGCUAUGGACAUACUGUUAUUUCAUGUCAUUCAGAUGUGUGGGAGGGAGGGAUCUGGAGGGGCAGGCUACCUGUGGGUGUGCACCUCUGCUGUAAGAGAAAAAACCUGUCUCUGCCAACACUUGCUCUCAAUAGCUGCUACUCAUCAAGCCAGUCCUGCCAUUAGACAAAUUGAAACAAUUGCCUCAACCAGAACAUGAUAGGAAGCAGCCACCCUCUUGCAUUUAUGAAUUCUUCUUUUCCCCUCCACUGAAUGGCAGAGCCCACAAUCUGUCCUGGGUCCCAAAAGGAGCUUGUCAUCUCAUUGACGUGGGAGGACAUUAUGCCUUCAGCAGUGCUGAAGUAGGAUCCAGCUGGUUCCUGCAUAUGGAAUGCAGCAGUCUUUAUGAUAAUCCUAUACAGGUUUAUAAUAAUAGGUUAUUAUCUUAUUGUACCUGUAUUACAAACUGGGAAUGGAGUGGAGAUUGACAAAACAAGGACUUGGCUAAAGCCGUAAAGCAAGAUGUAGCUAAGGUUGAUUUUAUCUUUGAUGCUGGGAGGAGGAACCCAUACCUUCCAAGGUCGCGGAGCUCAAAGGCAAAUGAAUAUUUUAUUCCCUCAUCAUAAGCCCAGUCUGAAGAGGAACCAAAACAAGGGUCUGAAAAAUAGAAAUAUCAAAGGCAUAUUUAAAGACAUCUCUGGCAUAAAGGGGAGAAAAAGAUCAAGUUGCCUGAGCAGAACACAAGCUAAAUUUGAAUCAACAGUGUGAUGCAAUUGAAAAAGAAAAGUUAAUACAAUUCAAAGCUGCAUCAACAGAGGACAGGAAACCCUGCAUUUUCUGCAAAAUAGCAGCCUUCUUAUGCAAAACACCAGUUUUUCAUGGAAGAGCUCCAUGCAACUGCUAAUGAAAAAAGUGCCAGGCAUUCCAGCUGUCUUCAUAAUCAGUCAUGGGAAUGUAUGCAAAUAGACUCUGCAACCAAAUGCUGCAAGCAUCAUCUGGACAAAACUUGUUUGAUUGGAUCUAACAUGGAAAUCCACUUUUGUCCCAGCAACAAGAUGGUGAACUGAAUCAGGAUACCAGAUGUCAAGCUGUACCAAAAAACCCCAAAACAAAACAAAAGGAAAAAAAAGGGGGGGGGGAGAAAAAAAAGUGGUGAUUUGUAAUUAAUAAUGAGUGGGCCUAAAGGCAUGAAUUGAUAGAAGAGUGACAAAGCAACAAACAGAGGGGCAGAACUAUAAUACUUCCCUCUACUGGCAAUGGCUUUAACCUAAUAAAUAAUAAUUAGAUAGCAAGGAUGGGGAUUCAAGUUGUGAGACUCACUUAAGUCACACCGGUGACUGACAAGACUGACAAGAAAAUGUCUACCUUCCCACAAUUGAUGACAAUUACGGGCUGCCAGAGGACAGGUCUUUUGAAAGGCAUCUUCGGUUUGAAAUGAGGUUACUAUUUCUACAUCUGAUUUAAAGAACCAUUAGGAACAUCCAGAUCACAGUUAUGACCUGGACAGCUGGCACAAUAUUCUGCUUUGUGACACUGGGCUACUGAAGUGCAACAAGAACUUCUCAGUGAAUCAUAGACAGGAAGGUGAUGGGAGUUUUCAGAAUCUUUGAAGACCCAAAAUAGCCUAUGACCGAAGAAACAAAUAAGGUUGGCUGUAUCUGAGAUUCAGGAAGAAGAAAACCGUAUCGGCCUUUGUCACGAAGUUCAAAGUCUUGCAAGCCACCAUGGAUCCUUUAGAAGAAAGGCAGAGGUUGCAUGCACAUUGAGAGAACCACUUUGUAUUUAACAGUCUUGGAAAUUUAGGUCCAAGCAGGAAUGAGGACUCACUGUCACAGGAGUUGGACUUAAGCUGGACUUAAAUUGCACUGGUAACUUGACUCGGACUCAAUUCAGGUUUUUUUUCUCAAUGAAUCAGACUUGACUCGCAACUUGGAACCCACCCCACUCUUCUUUUGGGGAGGGGGAAUUAUUUUUAAUAGGAACUUGGACUUGGGACUUGGUACCAAAGACUUGGACUCAGACUUGGGACUUGGAUCCAAAGACUUGGCAACAUCCCUGGCUCCAAGUUAAUAAGGGCAAGUGAUUCAGUCUAUUGUCUGUAUAUGGCACAGUUGGCUGUGGAAUUUGUAAAGCGUUGCAAAUGUACCAAAGAAAGGGCAAACUCUUUCUCUGAGAUGCAUUUUGCAGACCACAUACACUCAUUUCACACACCUGAAGCCUAAAAACAAAAUGGAAUACAGUGCAAAUAGAAGGAAGUUUGCAAAUUAGCAGAACUUGCCCAGGCAAAGCAAUGAUUUUGCUACAGGAAGCUCAGCAUGACAUUUUGUUUCUGUUCUUCCCAGCCUGCAGAUAGCUCCCACAUUUUCUGCUCGGUAUUAAAGCCCUGAUUUGGGACGGGGAAGGCAGUUACAUAGGCAGAAUCAUCACACGCUAUGUGAUUCUC